rnacentral:rRNA from 1 species
UACGGGGCGCAGCAGGCGCGAAAACUUCGCAAUGCGCGAAAGCGCGACGAGGGGAUUCCAAGUGCAUGCACUCAGUGUAUGCUGUUUUCCAGUCUAAAUAGCUGGGAGAGUAAGGGCUGGGUAAGACUGGUGCCAGCCGCCGCGGUAAUACCAGCGGCCCUAGUGGUGAUCGUUAUUAUUGGGCCUAAAGCGUCCGUAGCCGGCUCGGUAAAUCUCUGGGUAAAUCGAUAGGCUUAACUUAUCGAAUUCUGGGGAGACUGCCGGGCUUGGGACCGGGAGAGGUCGGAGGUACUCCAGGGGUAGGGGUGAAAUCCUGUAAUCCUUGGGGGACCACCGGUGGCGAAGGCGUCCGACCAGAACGGGUCCGACGGUAAGGGACGAAGCCCUGGGGCGCAAACCGGAUUAGAUACCCGGGUAGUCCAGGGUGUAAACGCUGUGCGCUUGGUGUUGGGGGUCCUACGAGGGCACCCAGUGCCGGAGAGAAGUUGUUAAGCGCACCGCCUGGGGAGUACGGUCGCAAGACUGAAACU